UACGUAGGGGGCAAGCGUUGUCCGGAUUUAUUGGGCGUAAAGAGCGUGUAGGCGGCCUGACAGGUCUGCUGUGAAAACUCGAGGCUCAACCUCGAGAUGUCGGCGGAAACCGUCUGGCUAGAGUCCGGAAGAGGCGAGUGGAAUUCCCGGUGUAGCGGUGAAAUGCGCAGAUAUCGGGAGGAACACCUAUGGCGAAGGCAGCUCGCUGGGACGUUACUGACGCUGAGACGCGAAAGCGUGGGGAGCAAACAGG
rnacentral:rRNA from 1 species